rnacentral:lncRNA from 14 species
CUGAACCCACAGCCUCUUCAUUCUCAGCAGGAUUCAGGUUUGGUGGUGUUGGGUUUUAAUCAACAGAAUGACUUCUCUUGAAACCACAGAUUUUUCUAUCAUGAAUAUGUAGGAAAAUAUUAUUCAGCUGAUGUAACACAAGACUCAGGUUGCAUUAGGAGAUGGGAUGUGAUAGAACACGACGGUAAUGAGUCACCUCAUAUCAUGUUUUAUUGUGAUGUGUCAGCUGAGAAAGCUAGAGACCUAUAGGUGUUCCUACCAGCCCAGUUAUGAAACAAUUGCUGCUUCAUGCAGAGAUUACUAAGUUUUUCCUAGGCUAGUUAGCAGAUAGGUUUGGGUCUGUGGUUUAGCAGUGUUUUAAGUUGCAAGCAAUGAGCUUCCUUCGGAAUCUAUUUUCCACCCAGGAAAGUCAUCAGUCUCUUGUUAGCAAGGGUUAACCUUGCUCAAAACCUCCAGUCAUCAAGACAUUGUCUUGGCAGAGAAGAAAGGUUAUGAGAUUGCCUUUGUUUAAGACUAUUUUCUGCUGACAUUAACUAGGAGAGGGUGAUGAUGCCAUCGCGUGUUGCUGUUGUAGAACUGAGACUAUGAAGGCAUGAUCUGGAAAGUCAGGAAGUUAGAAACUGGCUCUAUGCUUCUCAGUUUAAUCCAGAGAGUGGCAGAUGCCUAGGCACAGGCAGGAAAGCUUAAAGGGUUUUCAGAGUAGGCUUUUAAUUUCCACCACUGCUGGCUGCAUCGCUGGUGGUCAGUAAGAAAUACACAGGACCCUUCAGGACAUUUCAGCAUUCCUGGGUAUGAGAUUGUGUCUGUGGGAUGCGGGUGAUGGAACUGGUGGAGUUCCUCUCCACCAGUGGUCCGGUGAGACCUGCUUUGCCUCCUGCUGGGCAGUCUGGCGGUAUCUGAUGUACAUGAUGAUGGGUGAUAAGGCUUUGGGAGACGCGAGAGCACCUCAUUUCAGUCAGCACUAUAAAACAGCGGCUACUUCUUCCAUGAUGCAUUUUUUGGAGAAGCCACUGGAGGGACACCUCCACUACAAAACUGAAACCAGCUGCAACCUGCUCCAGCCCUUCUAGGCUCGUCUGUCCGGUCUUCCUCUCUGGUGGAAGACUCCAAACAUGGGUG